UAGAGUUUGAUCCUGGCUCAGAACGAACGCUGGCGGCGUGGAUAAGACAUGCAAGUCGAACGAGAGAAUUGCUAGCUUGCUAAUAAUUCUCUAGUGGCGCACGGGUGAGUAACACGUGAGUAACCUGCCCCCGAGAGCGGGAUAGCCCUGGGAAACUGGGAUUAAUACCGCAUAGUAUCGAAAGAUUAAAGCAGCAAUGCGCUUGGGGAUGGGCUCGCGGCCUAUUAGUUAGUUGGUGAGGUAACGGCUCACCAAGGCGAUGACGGGUAGCCGGUCUGAGAGGAUGUCCGGCCACACUGGAACUGAGACACGGUCCAGACACCUACGGGUGGCAGCAGUCGAGAAUCAUUCACAAUGGGGGAAACCCUGAUGGUGCGACGCCGCGUGGGGGAAUGAAGGUCUUCGGAUUGUAAACCCCUGUCAUGUGGGAGCAAAUUAAAAAGAUAGUACCACAAGAGGAAGAGACGGCUAACUCUGUGCCAGCAGCCGCGGUAAUACAGAGGUCUCAAGCGUUGUUCGGAAUCACUGGGCGUAAAGCGUGCGUAGGCUGUUUCGUAAGUCGUGUGUGAAAGGCGCGGGCUCAACCCGCGGACGGCACAUGAUACUGCGAGACUAGAGUAAUGGAGGGGGAACCGGAAUUCUCGGUGUAGCAGUGAAAUGCGUAGAUAUCGAGAGGAACACUCGUGGCGAAGGCGGGUUCCUGGACAUUAACUGACGCUGAGGCACGAAGGCCAGGGGAGCGAAAGGGAUUAGAUACCCCUGUAGUCCUGGCAGUAAACGGUGCACGCUUGGUGUGCGGGGAAUCGACCCCCUGCGUGCCGGAGCUAACGCGUUAAGCGUGCCGCCUGGGGAGUACGGUCGCAAGAUUAAAACUCAAAGAAAUUGACGGGGACCCGCACAAGCGGUGGAGUAUGUGGCUUAAUUCGAUGCAACGCGAAGAACCUUACCUGGGCUUGACAUGUAAUGAACAACAUGUGAAAGCAUGCGACUCUUCGGAGGCGUUACACAGGUGCUGCAUGGCCGUCGUCAGCUCGUGUCGUGAGAUGUUUGGUUAAGUCCAGCAACGAGCGCAACCCCUGUUGCCAGUUACCAGCACGUGAAGGUGGGGACUCUGGCGAGACUGCCCAGAUCAACUGGGAGGAAGGUGGGGACGACGUCAGGUCAGUAUGGCCCUUAUGCCCAGGGCUGCACACGUACUACAAUGCCCAGUACAGAGGGGGCCGAAGCCGCGAGGCGGAGGAAAUCCUAAAAACUGGGCCCAGUUCGGACUGUAGGCUGCAACCCGCCUACACGAAGCCGGAAUCGCUAGUAAUGGCGCAUCAGCUACGGCGCCGUGAAUACGUUCCCGGGUCUUGCACUCACCGCCCGUCA
rnacentral:rRNA from 1 species